CCCUACUCACCAUAACCAACCCCGUCAUCUGUCUUCUUGUUUUCUUACGCCAAAAACACACACUGGCAAUGGCACACGCACAGAAUCCCUUUUCCGUCUCUGUUUCUUUAGGUUGUGUUUGGGGUUGUUUAAUUGGUAGCAUUGAAGUCUGAAGAUAGUUUUUUGGAUUUCGAGGUUCUUGAGGGAUUCAAACGGCAACUAGUUUCAAAUUUUUGUACUUUAAACUGACCAGAAAGCCCUUGCCAAUAAGAUAGAAUUUCAGUUAUGCCCACGUCUUUCUACAGAAACACAGAACAUUUCUG
rnacentral:lncRNA from 1 species